rnacentral:rRNA from 1 species
GAUGAACGCUGGCGGCGUGCCUAAUACAUGCAAGUCGAGCGAACAGACGAGGAGCUUGCUCCUCUGACGUUAGCGGCGGACGGGUGAGUAACACGUGGAUAACCUACCUAUAAGACUGGGAUAACUUCGGGAAACCGGAGCUAAUACCGGAUAAUAUAUUGAAUCGCAUGGUUCAAUAGUGAAAGACGGUUUUGCUGUCACUUAUAGAUGGAUCCGCGCCGCAUUAGCUAGUUGGUAAGGUAACGGCUUACCAAGGCAACGAUGCGUAGCCGACCUGAGAGGGUGAACGGGCACACUUGAACUGAGGCACGGUCCCGACUCCCUAGGGAGGGAGGCGGUGGGAAUUCUGCCGCAUGGGGCGAAGCCCGGAGGGAGCAACGCCGCUUAGUUAUUAAGGUCUUUCGAUUCUUAAACCUCUUUAAUUGGGAAAAAAAAAAGUGUAAGGAAACUAUCCCCUUCUUAACGGUCCUAAUCCAGAAGGCACCGGCUACUACGUG